rnacentral:rRNA from 1 species
UACGGAGGGGACUAGCGUUGUUCGGAAUUACUGGGCGUAAAGCGCACGUAGGCGGAUUUGUAAGUCAGGGGUGAAAUCCCGAGGCUCAACCUCGGAACUGCCUUUGAUACUGCAAAUCUCGAGUCCGGAAGAGGUGAGUGGAAUUCCUAGUGUAGAGGUGAAAUUCGUAGAUAUUAGGAAGAACACCAGUGGCGAAGGCGGCUCACUGGUCCGGUACUGACGCUGAGGCACGAAAGCGUGGGGAGCAAACAGG